rnacentral:rRNA from 1 species
UACGUAGGGCGCGAGCGUUGUCCGGAUUUAUUGGGCGUAAAGAGCUCGUAGGCGGCUUGUCGCGUCGUCCGUGAAAACCUGCAGCUCAACUGCAGGCUUGCGGUCGAUACGGGCAGGCUAGAGUUCGGUAGGGGAGACUGGAAUUCCUGGUGUAGCGGUGAAAUGCGCAGAUAUCAGGAGGAACACCGGUGGCGAAGGCGGGUCUCUGGGUCGAUACUGACGCUGAGGAGCGAAAGCGUGGGGAGCGAACAGG